rnacentral:rRNA from 1 species
UACGUAGGGGGCAAGCGUUGUCCGGAAUCAUUGGGCGUAAAGAGCGCGUAGGCGGCCCUGUAAGUCCGCUGUGAAAGUCAAGGGCUCAACCCUCGAAUGCCGGCGGAUACUGUCGGGCUAGAGUCCGGAAGAGGCGAGUGGAAUUCCUGGUGUAGCGGUGAAAUGCGCAGAUAUCAGGAGGAACACCUACGGCGAAGGCAGCUCGCUGGGACGGUACUGACGCUGAGACGCGAAAGCGUGGGGAGCAAACAGG